rnacentral:sRNA from 1 species
CUGGCAGUGAUGGAAACUGAAGUCCUCUUUUUUUGUAUUCACAGGCUAGGUACAUUUCUGGGCAGCUCCAGUGUGAGCUUCUCCAUGCUGCCUCAUCAGUGACCUGGAGGGACCUCCCUCUCAGUGAGAGGUUAUUCAGUCUCCAUACUAGCUCAGUCCGGUCCUUUC